GACGAACGCUGGCGGCGUGCCUAAUACAUGCAAGUCGAACGAGAGCGACCGGUGCUUGCACUGGUCAAUCUAGUGGCGAACGGGUGAGUAACACGUGGGUAACCUGCCCAUCAGAGGGGGAUAACAUCCGGAAACGGAUGCUAAAACCGCAUAGGUCUUCGAACCGCAUGGUUUGAAGAGGAAAAGAGGGGCAAGCUUCUGCUGAUGGAUGGACCCGCGGUGCAUUAGCUAGUUGGUGAGGUAACGGCUCACCAAGGCCGUGAUGCAUAGCCGACCUGAGAGGGUGAUCGGCCACAUUGGGACUGAGACACGGCCCAAACUCCUACGGGAGGCAGCAGUAGGGAAUCUUCCGCAAUGGACGCAAGUCUGACGGAGCAACGCCGCGUGAGUGAAGAAGGUUUUCGGAUCGUAAAACUCUGUUGUUAGAGAAGAACAAGUGCUAGAGUAACUGUUAGCGCCUUGACGGUAUCUAACCAGAAAGCCACGGCUAACUACGUG
rnacentral:rRNA from 1 species